UACGGAGGGGGCUAGCGUUGUUCGGAAUUACUGGGCGUAAAGCGCACGUAGGCGGCUUUGUAAGUCAGAGGUGAAAGCCCGGAGCUUAACUCCGGAAUUGCCUUUGAGACUGCAUCGCUUGAAUCCGGGAGAGGUGAGUGGAAUUCCGAGUGUAGAGGUGAAAUUCGUAGAUAUUCGGAAGAACACCAGUGGCGAAGGCGGCUCACUGGACCGGUAUUGACGCUGAGGAGCGAAAGCGUGGGGAGCAAACAGG
rnacentral:rRNA from 1 species